rnacentral:rRNA from 1 species
CAAUAGCGUAUAUUAAAGUUGUUACAGUUAAAAAGCUCGUAGUUGGAUUUGUGGUUCGUCCCGCCGGCUGGGUCAUUGACUUUUGCUGUGCUGGUCGUCCAUCCUUGGGUGGAAUCUGUGUGGCAUUAGGUUGUCGCGCAGGGGAUGCCCAUCGUUUACUGUGAAAAAAUUAGAGUGUUCAAAGCAGGCUUAUGCCGUUGAAUAUAUUAGCAUGGAAUAAUGAUAUAGGACCUUGGUACUAUUUUGUUGGUUUGCGCAUCGAGGUAAUGAUUAAUAGGGACAGUUGGGGGUAUUCGUAUUCCAUUGUAAGAGGUGAAAUUCUUGGAUUUUUGGAAGACGAACUACUGCGAAAGCAUUUACCAAGGAUGUUUUCAUUAA